CAAAAACACGUUAAGCUGACAAUGUUUAUGUAAUAAUUUAAAUACUGUAAUGUUAAUAAAUAGUGUCCUUAUUUAUUUUAUAUCCUCAAAUCCUGAUUAUGUAAACAAACACACAAACAAAUGAUACUCAAUGUUUGACACUUUGUGACUGUCCAGCUGAAUGAUCACACGACCUGUGGACAACAACAACGGCACAACUCCCCACCCCCUUCCCCUUCCCACUCACCCUCCCCUUCUCACUCCCCCUCCCCUUCUCAUUCCCCCUCCCCUUCUCACUCCCCCUCCCCUUCACAGUCCCCCUCCCCUUCUCACUCCCCCUCCCCUUCACAGUCCCCCUCAGCUUCCCAGUCCCCAUCAUCUUCCCAGUCCACCUCAUCUUCCAAGGCCCCCUCAUCUUCCCUGGCCCACUCCACUUUCCAUUCCCCUUCUCACCACACCUCUCCAUCUCUUUCUGGGACCCCUUCUCCUCCUUCCCAUACCCCUUCUCCUUCAUCUUCGUCAUCCCCAUCUGAACCCCCCUCACCCUCUAUUGCCUUACAUUUCUCUCCACCCCCCUCGCCCUCGCAAUCAGACCCCCCCUCUGAAAUUGUUGCUCCAAUCCAGCCUCCUUCCCCAAUCCCUCCUCCUUCCCCAAUCCCUCCUCCUUCCCCAAUCCAUCCUCCUUCCCCAAUCCCUCCUCCUUCCCCAAUCCCUCCUCCUUUCACCAUCCCUCAGCCGGCUUCACCGAUCAUGCCAAGCUCACCACCCAGUGAAUGGGCACAGGAAGCCCCUGACGAACAUUCCGGGAGUCAGGAUGUUGCCGUGGAAAAUGUUGCCGUUGGAGAUCCAACAUCCUUGCAGGAUAUAGUUUGCAGUAUGAGGCGCCAUCUCCAGGCCUUGGUGGGGCUUUUGGACGCCAUGCAAAAAUUUUGUUAAUUUUAUGAUUAUAAUUAAAAAUAUUAUAAAAAAUGAUAAUAUCAGUAUUCCACUUUUAAAAAAAAAUAAACUAAUAAA